rnacentral:rRNA from 1 species
ACUGAAUAGAUACCCGGGUAGUCCCAGCUGUAAACGAUGCAGGCUAGGUGUUUGGACGGCCACGUGCCGUUCUAGUGCCGCAGGGAAGCUGUUAAGCCUGCCGCCUGGGGAGUACGAUCGCAAGAUUGAAAUUUAAAGGAAUUGGCGGGGGAGCACCACAAGGGGUGAAGCUUGCGGUUUAAUUGGAGUCAACGCCGGAAAUCUCACCGGGAGCGACAGCAGUGUGAAGGCCAGAUUAAAGGUCUUGCCAGACGAGCUGAGAGGAGGUGCAUGGCCGUCGCCAGUUCGUGCCGUGAGGUGUCCUGUUAAGUCAGGCAACGAUCGAGACCCGCGUCCUCUGUUGCUACUAGCCUUGUGCUGGGCACACUGAGGAGACCGCCACUGAUAAAGUGGAGGAAGGAGCGGGCCACGGCAGGUCAGUAUGCCCCGAAUCUCCGGGCCACACGCGAGCUGCAAUGGCAGGUACAAUGGGUUCCGACCUCGAAAGGGGAAGGCAAUCUCGAAAGCCUGCCGCAGUUGGAAUC